GUCGGGAAAUCCACUCGCCUAACGAGUGGGCGUCCGGCGGAAACUACAGGACUUGGGACCGGAAGACUUGAGGGGUACGUCUGGGGUAGGAGUGAAAUCCUGUAAUCCUGGACGGACCGCCGAUAGCGAAAGCACCUCAAGACGACGGAUCCGACAGUGAGGGACGAAAGCUAGGGUCUCGAACCGGAUUAGAUACCCGG
rnacentral:rRNA from 1 species